ACAACGGAGAGUUUGAUCCUGGCUCAGGAUGAACGCUAGCGACAGGCUUAACACAUGCAAGUCGAGGGGCAGCGGGGAUGAAGCUUGCUUCAUCCGCCGGCGACCGGCGCACGGGUGAGUAACACGUAUGCAACCUGCCCCUGGCUGGGGGAUAAGCCGGAGAAAUCCGGUCUAAUACCGCGUAACAUCCUUACGGGACAUCCCGUUAGGAUCAAAGGAAGCGAUUCCGGCCAGGGAUGGGCAUGCGGCGCAUUAGCUAGUCGGCGGGGUAACGGCCCACCGAGGCGACGAUGCGUAGGGGUUCUGAGAGGAAGGUCCCCCACACUGGUACUGAGACACGGACCAGACUCCUACGGGAGGCAGCAGUGAGGAAUAUUGGUCAAUGGGCGCGAGCCUGAACCAGCCAAGUCGCGUGAGGGAAGACGGUCCUAUGGAUUGUAAACCUCUUUUGCCGGGGAGCAAGCUGGGUCACGUGUGACCCAGCUGAGAGUACCCGGAGAAAAAGCAUCGGCUAACUCCGUGCCAGCAGCCGCGGUAAUACGGAGGAUGCGAGCGUUAUCCGGAUUUAUUGGGUUUAAAGGGUGCGUAGGCGGACUGUCAAGUCAGCGGUAAAAUUGAGAGGCUCAACCUCUUCCCGCCGUUGAAACUGGUGGUCUUGAGUGGAUGAGAAGUACGCGGAAUGCGUGGUGUAGCGGUGAAAUGCAUAGAUAUCACGCAGAACUCCGAUUGCGAAGGCAGCGUACCGGCAUCCAACUGACGCUGAGGCACGAAAGCGUGGGGAUCAAACAGGAUUAGAU
rnacentral:rRNA from 1 species